CUGCAUCCACUGGUAGACCUUUGAACAGUUUCCUGUUACUAUUUGGUUUACACUAGGAUGCAAGAGGAAAAAAUCCCUGCACUUUCUGUCUUUGUGGCAGCCCAGACUGAAUAAGGGUACAUAUCU
rfam:Erinaceus europaeus unplaced genomic scaffold scaffold00124, whole genome shotgun sequence